rnacentral:rRNA from 1 species
GACGUAGGAUGCAAGCGUUGUCCGGAUUUAUUGGGCGUAAAGAGUUCGUAGGUGGUUUGUUAAGUCUGAUGUUAAAGACUGGGGCUCAACCUCGGAAAUGCAUUGGAUACUGGCAGACUUGAGUGUGGUAGAGGCAAUCGGAAUUCCAGGUGUAGCGGUGAAAUGCGUAGAUAUCUGGAAGAACACCGGUGGCGCAAGCGGAUUGCUGGGCCAUAACUGACACUGAGGAACGAAAGCUAGGGGAGCGAAUGGG